rnacentral:rRNA from 1 species
AGAGUGAACGCUGGCGGCAUGCCUAACACAUGCAAGUCGAACGGUAACAGGCCCGCAAGGGUGCUGACGAGUGGCGGACGGGUGAGGAAUACAUCGGAAUCUGCCCGGUUGUGGGGGAUAACGUAGGGAAACUUACGCUAAUACCGCAUACGACCUACGGGUGAAAGCGGGGGACCUUCGGGCCUCGCGCAGUCGGAUGAGCCGAUGUCGGAUUAGCUAGUUGGCGGGGUAAAGGCCCACCAAGGCGACGAUCCGUAGC